rfam:Candidatus Regiella insecticola LSR1 genomic scaffold Scaffold1, whole genome shotgun sequence.
CGUGUGGUGUCUGGCGGGAUAAAGGCCCGAUAGCGACACGGUCUUAAAGAGAGCU